UUCUGCUGGAGGGGUGCUGCUGCAGCAAGAGAUGGAGAGGAAAGAAAACUCUUUAUCUUGAGGAUUUGGCACAUGCUGUCAGGAGCCCACCACUUAGACCACGUUUCAGAGCCAAGACAUGAAAGAAAUGGAUUCUUGGGCUACACAGUCAGCCAGCCUUGAAACAGGAAUGAAACAAUAACCAAAACUCUUGGGACCUGCCUGACUGGGCUCCAUCAGUGAACCCAAGCAAAGCUGAUGCAAGUCCCACCAUGCAGGAAUCUGAGCCUUCCAGGAGUGUGGUUGCUGCUUUCCAGGCUGAGAAGAUUCUCCAGUUACCUGCAUUUUCAGAAACUUCCAGACUGAGGAACACUCCAGUGGUAACAAAGGAGUGACAGCAUGGGCUGCUCAUUGCUCCUGGCUGCAUCUUCAUCCCUACCCUGGUGCCAGAGGGG